rnacentral:lncRNA from 1 species
AAAGAACAAAAAUAAAAUUGCCAAGCACAUCAUAGAAGAACAAAAGAUUUAUUUGAUACUAACGUAUUUUCAGAUUUUGCAGGAAAAAAAUAAAAUGUACAACACAUUCUCAGUUAUAAACAAAAAUAUUCUUGCACUAUCACAUAUACCUCCAUUCAAAUUGUAGACUGAAAUUAAGAAAUCAAGUACGUAAGACAACUGUAAAUCCAAAUGGCAUUCAUAGACGCAACUUGUAAGUUGUAAAUACUCGAAUCGCGCUAAACUGUUCCACAAAUUUAACAAAAAUAAUUUCAUAAAAAUACACGAUCACAAACUGUGAGUCCAACUUUAUGAGAAGAAAGCAAGAGAAUAUAAUAAAUGCCUAUGGAUUAUCGAUUGCUUUGUCGGUACCAUACCAUACUCUGAAAUAGUCCUGCAAUAAUAUCCUUAAAAUCAUCAGAUCAGACAUACAGAUAAUUUUCAACCAUUUAUCAUGAAAAAAAGAAAUCAGUUUCUUUUACACAAAAAGUUUAAAUAUAUAUUUUUUAAGAAGACAAUCCCCCUUUUAUGGUGUCUUUAGGUAUUGCUCUCAAAAAAAUGUUGUCAAAAUGAGCUAAAUUUAAGCUUUCAAGGAUGGUAGAGGCAGCAAAAAUAUUCUAAUACUAUUAAAGUAGGAAUUACGUGGAGUUGGUUAAGAGCGUGCAUAAGCUAUCAAGGUUGUUUGGAAAACCAAAGACCACCUUGUCACUCUUCUUUUUUUCGUGCUGCUGGUGUUAUUUCUCGUUUGUAUACCUUUAAACACUAUAAAAUCUCUGGUCAAACGUUCCAAUCCUUUCCCUUUCCUAUUUAAAAAUGAUCACUUCAGAUUAUAGAAGAAAAAGGUAAUAGUGCACGAAAUGAUAUUUUAAAAAUGUCAAUAUUGUUUCAAUUCACAAAAUCAUUUUGGCAUAAGCCGACACCUGAAUAUAAUCCUCAAACAAAUCAAAAAAGAUGAGGCCUCGAACCAUUUGAUUGACAAAAUGUAUGCCGCAAUCUCUGAAAUUCACAACUGGUAUAUCUAAUCUUUUUUUACAGUACAAAGAUAUACUUACUGAGCAGAAAACUAUUUUCUCAUCCAACUUUAGACCAAAAGCACCUUCAUGUUACUACAAAUUUAUUCAAAAGAUAAAGAAAAACAUCUUAAUGCUCCUCUUAAGCACCACGGAAUUUCAGAUUUGGCAUCAAGGAAAGGUUUCCUUCAAGAAGAAGUUUUUACGGCUAAUAGUAAUUCCCUCCAAGUUGUGCAAAUGCUUGAUUAUACAUUGUGCAAAGUUUAUCAUUAUCAAUCAAGUUACAGAUACCUUCAUAGAAAAAAUAAACAAGGUACAAUUACAUUUUCCUUAUUCAUAUUCUCUCUAGAUAUUAUAUCCUUCUUCAUCCAUGAUUUUUAUUUGCAUUAUACAUUAUGUAGUUAGAUUUAAACACUUAUAAAGUAAUGUAACAUUUUCAUUGACAAAUUACUCAAUAUUGUGGCACGAAGAGUAAAGCUCAAAAGUAUACCUCAAUUGUAUCAAGUUCUAGCAAGGACGCUACUUGUUUGGCCGAAGCAAGUAACAGAGUUGCAGCUGUUAAACAUGUACCUCCAAUGGAUCCGACUGUUCGUCUUUACAUUUUUAACUUGCUCAUUUUGAACAUCAUAGUCUCCACUCUGUUAUGUGUGACCAUCAUUUGUUUAGUUCAACAUCCUAUUAAAAGAAGAAUACAUCAUCAUAUGCCCAAGACAAUCACUUGGGUAAAAAAGGGAAAUGAAUUCCUAAUAAGGAAAACAGUCGGAUGCGUCAAUAUUAUAUUUGAGUGUUCUGAAAAUACGAUUCAACAUCAAAAGGAAAGUUGGUACUCAAGAAUAAUGCAUCACAAUAUUUCAGGUCAGCAUUAUAGAGUUUAAUAGAAAUUACAUUUUAAUGUUGAUGUUUUUGUUACAUGUGUGACUGUUUCAUAAUCUCUCUCAAGGCGGGACUUGUUUUAAGCAUUCAUGAAGCUUAUCAAUCCCCAUCUGAAAAAAUAGUUAAAAUAUUAAAAUUUAAAUUUAAUAAAAGAAAAUAAUGUCAAACAUCUUAUCAUGAUUUACCCACUUUUAAUGAAUUUUUAACAUCCUAUAUAAUUUUUAUUGACAAAACAAAUGUUAAAUGUGAAAUAACUCAAUUAAAUUAGUAAAUGUGAAUUGUUUAUGAUUGUAAUGAAUGUUAACAAUUAUAGGGAAGGUCAAAAGAAAGGUCCUUUUAACAAUUCUAAUGAAUUUAAUAUUUUGAGCAUCCAAACCUACUGCAACCUUGUCCAACGGCCAACACUUAAGGAGAAAACAAAAUAGCAUAAUUAAAACGAAAAAUAAAACUAUGAGAAGUCCAGAUAUAACAAUAAAUCAGUCUAACGACAGGAAAACCUCUCCUUUGAAAUAAGAUGAUUGAAUUUUCAACUAAACAUCAAAAGAUUGACCAACACUUCAAUCAACGCUGCCCUAUUUGUAUAUAUUUCACAAGUUCUAAUUUCAAUAUCUAGAGAAUUCGUGAUAUCCUCUAAUUGUUUCAAAAGUAAAUAGCAAUAAAAUUGAGUAAAAAGAAUUAAGAUAAUUUAAAAAUCGAAGAGAAAGAACGUGCAAAGUCGUGAACUGUUCCGUGAAUUUUCUCCGGAGCAGAAAGUCUCAUGUCCUUGAAGUCUUUGAGUGCUUUCAAGCAAUCACUGAUUUUCGACUUCGAAUCGGUAUCUUAAGUCCACCACCAGUGGCUCCGAUUGGUCGAUGUCUUAUAUUUUGGGGAUAGCACAGUUAUGAAGGAUGCCACAAAAUCUUGUCUCACUAACAUUUUUUUUCCGGCAGGGCACAAAGAAAAAAGACUAAACUGGCUAUGGUGUAUUAUGAGAAAGAAGAGGAAGAUAGAAGGCGUAAUUAAGAUGAAUAGUAUAUGAAGGUUUAAUGAGAAGGGUUAAUGAAGGAGCGCAGCUUUUGAGUCUUAACCGAAGGGUAAAAAUUAAUUUAAACAAUGAGAAGAAACAAA